UACGAGUGCCCCAAGCGUUAUCCGGAAUCAUUGGGCGUAAAGGGUGUGUAGGCGGUCGUGUUAGUCUCCUGUUAAAGCCUUGGGCUUAACCCAAGAGAGGCGGGAGAGACGGCACGACUCGAGAGUGCGAGAGGUCUAUGGAACUCAUGGUGUAGGGGUGAAAUCCGUUGAUAUCAUGGGGAACACCAAAUGCGAAGGCAAUAGACUGGCGUACUUCUGACGCUGAGACACGAAAGCGUGGGUAGCGAAUGGG
rnacentral:rRNA from 1 species